UGGUGGCGCACUACCCGCACG
rnacentral:misc_RNA from 1 species